AGAACGCCCGGGCUACGGCCUGGUUAUUCAUAACCCUUUGUUGUCCGACUCUGUUGCCUCCGGGGCGACCCUGCCUUCGGGCGGGGGCUCCGGGUGGACACUUCAAACUCUUGCGUAACUUUGCAGUCUGAGUAAACUUAAUUAAUAAAUUAAAACUUUUAACAACGGAUCUCUUGGUUCUGGCAUCGAUGAAGAACGCAGCGAAAUGCGAUAAGUAAUGUGAAUUGCAGAAUUCAGUGAAUCAUCGAAUCUUUGAACGCACAUUGCGCCCCCUGGUAUUCCGGGGGGCAUGCCUGUUCGAGCGUCAUUUCACCACUCAAGCCUCGCUUGGUAUUGGGCAACGCGGUCCGCCGCGUGCCUCAAAUCGUCCGGCUGGGUCUUCUGUCCCCUAAGCGUUGUGGAAACUAUUCGCUAAAGGGUGUUCGGGAGGCUACGCCGUAAAACAACCCCAUUUCUAAGGUUGACCUCGGAUCAGGUAGGGAUACCCGCUGAACUUAAGCAUAU
rnacentral:rRNA from 1 species